AACGAACGCUGGCGGCAUGCCUAACACAUGCAAGUCGAACGAGACCUUCGGGUCUAGUGGCGCACGGGUGCGUAACGCGUGGGAGUCUGCCCUUGGGUUCGGGAUAACAGUUGGAAACGACUGCUAAUACCGGAUGAUGUCUUCGGACCAAAGAUUUAUCGCCCAAGGAUGAGCCCGCGUAGGAUUAGCUUGUUGGUGAGGUAAGAGCUCACCAAGGCGACGAUCCUUAGCUGGUCUGAGAGGAUGAUCAGCCACACUGGGACUGAGACACGGGCCAGACUCCUGCGGGAGGCAGCAGUGGGGAAUAUUGGACAAUGGGCGAAAGCCUGAUCCAGCAAUGCCGCGUGAGUGAUGAAGGCCUUAGGGUUGUAAAGCUCUUUUGCCCGGGAUGAUAAUGACAGUACCGGGAGAAUGAGCCCCGGCUAACUCCGUGCCAGCCGCCGCCGUAA
rnacentral:rRNA from 1 species